CGUUUGCGGGCACUAAUCGAGAU
rnacentral:siRNA from 1 species